UACGUAGGGUGCAAGCGUUGUCCGGAAUUAUUGGGCGUAAAGAGCUCGUAGGCGGUCUGUCGCGUCUGCUGUGAAAACUCGGGGCUUAACCCCGGGCCUGCAGUGGGUACGGGCAGACUAGAGUGCGGUAGGGGAGACUGGAAUUCCUGGUGUAGCGGUGAAAUGCGCAGAUAUCAGGAGGAACACCGACGGCGAAGGCAGCUCGCUGGGACGGUACUGACGCUGAGGCGCGAAAGCGUGGGGAGCGAACAGG
rnacentral:rRNA from 1 species